AGAGUUUGAUCAUGGCUCAGAUUGAACGCUGGCGGCAUGCCUUACACAUGCAAGUCGAACGGUAACAGGUCUUCGGAUGCUGACGAGUGGCGAACGGGUGAGUAAUACAUCGGAACGUGCCCAGUAAUGGGGGAUAGCUCGGCGAAAGCCGGAUUAAUACCGCAUACGCCCUGAGGGGGAAAGUGGGGGACCGCAAGGCCUCACGUUAUUGGAGCGGCCGAUGGCUGAUUAGCUAGUUGGUAGGGUAAAGGCCUACCAAGGCGACGAUCAGUAGCUGGUCUGAGAGGACGAUCAGCCACACUGGGACUGAGACACAGCCCAGACUCCUACGGGAGGCAGCAGUGGGGAAUUUUGGACAAUGGGGGAAACCCUGAUCCAGCAAUGCCGCGUGAGUGAUGAAGGCCUUAGGGUUGUAAAGCUCUUUUACCAGGGAUGAUAAUGACAGUACCUGGAGAAUAAGCUCCGGCUAACUCCGUGCCAGCAGCCGCGGUAAUACGUAGGGUGCAAGCGUUAAUCGGAAUUACUGGGCGUAGAGCGUGCGCAGGCGGUUGUGUAAGACAGGUGUGAAAUCCCCGGGCUUAACCUGGGAAUUGCAUUUGUGACUGUACGACUAGAGUGUGUCAGAGGGGGGUGGAAUUCCACGUGUAGCAGUGAAAUGCGUAGAUAUGUGGAGGAACACCAAUGGCGAAGGCAGCCCCCUGGGAUAACACUGACGCUCAUGCACGAAAGCGUGGGGAGCAAACAGGAUUAGAUACCCUGGUAGUCC
rnacentral:rRNA from 1 species